CCUACGGGAGGCAGCAGUGGGGAAUCUUGCGCAAUGGGCGAAAGCCUGACGCAGCCAUGCCGCGUGAAUGAUGAAGGUCUUAGGAUUGUAAAAUUCUUUCACCGGGGACGAUAAUGACGGUACCCGGAGAAGAAGCCCCGGCUAACUUCGUGCCAGCAGCCGCGGUAAUACGAAGGGGGCUAGCGUUGCUCGGAAUUACUGGGCGUAAAGGGAGCGUAGGCGGAUAGUUUAGUCAGAGGUGAAAGCCCAGGGCUCAACCUUGGAAUUGCCUUUGAUACUGGCUAUCUUGAGUAUGGGAGAGGUAUGCGGAACUCCGAGUGUAGAGGUGAAAUUCGUAGAUAUUCGGAAGAACACCAGUGGCGAAGGCGGCAUACUGGCCCAUUACUGACGCUGAGGCUCGAAAGCGUGGGGAGCAAACAGGAUUAGAUACCCUGGUAGUCCACGCUGUAAACGAUGAGUGCUAGUUGUCGGCAUGCAUGCAUGUCGGUGACGCAGCUAACGCAUUAAGCACUCCGCCUGGGGAGUACGGUCGCAAGAUUAAACUUCAAAGGAAUUGACGG
rnacentral:rRNA from 1 species